UACAGAGGGGGCAAGCGUUGUUCGGAAUUACUGGGCGUAAAGGGCGCGUAGGCGGCCCGCUAAGUCGAACGUGAAAUCCCCGAGCUCAACUCGGGAACUGCGUCCGAUACUGGCGGGCUUGAAUCCGGGAGAGGGAUGCGGAAUUCCAGGUGUAGCGGUGAAAUGCGUAGAUAUCUGGAGGAACAUCGGUGGCGAAGGCGGCAUCCUGGACCGGUAUUGACGCUGAGGCGCGAAAGCCAGGGGAGCAAACGGG
rnacentral:rRNA from 1 species